GGUGGGGCACGCUUUGAUCAACCACAGAGGGUGACUGGGCAGUUCCUGCAUGAAGGAGGAGCUUGCCUGGAGGUGGGCGGGGCUUCAGAAUGUGCACAUUCUCCCUUUGGGGGAUUUCCUUAAGAUAACAAAUCUCCUAGAAGCUUCUGCUUAGCCUGACAAACAGUUCGGCCCCUAUGGGGUCUAUGUAGGCUGAAUGAAGGCAUUCUUUAUAACCCAGCGACUCCACUCCUGGGAACAUCCCCAGCAGAAACAAGUCCUGUGAUCAUCGGAAGACAUGCACUAGAAUGUUCACAGCAGAAUUAUUCAUCUGGGCUGUAACUGGAAACUACCGAAUGCCUGUCUCGGUAAAUUGCAAAACCAGCCACAGUCCUUUGCAGUCCAUCCCAUGAAGAAGCAGAGUCAAUUUCCUUUCCCCUGGAACCUGGCCUGGUCUUGCAGCUUGCUGUGGCCAAUAGGACACGGCAGAAGUGAUGCGUGCUGGUUCCAAGACUUGGAGAGGUGUUGCACGCUCCCCUUUGCUCUCCGGGAACUCCGCAGUCACCGUGUGAGAAGUCCCGGCUGCCCGGCUGGAGGGUGGGUGAGCUUCCCCAGCUGACGUCUUCCUCGACCAGCCAGCCCCAGCCACGCGGAUGCAGACACGCGAGUGAGCCCAGCCGACAUCAGCCCAGCUCAGCCCGGCCCAGAAGAACCUCCUAGAUGACGCCCGUCGAAAUCUACCAGCCGACGCACGUGCUAAAGAGCCCAUGGGAUUGCAUCUCACGCGGAGGACGGUGUGUAAGGGGAACAUCACAAACAGCCAACACGCCCUGGAAAAUUCCUUGGGAAGCUGUCAUGUGGGGGCCAACUGCUAUCUCUCCAUAAAUCCGGUACGGCCAGUUUUUCCACCCGCGUUGGGACAGAUCACUAUUUCUCCUGUCAGGCUCCAGUCGAAGCAGAGGUUUGUGUGUAGGGGUCACACAGCGAGCUGCAGUAGGCGUUGGACAGAGGCAGGGGCUGGGGCUGCGGAAGAGGGCUGUGAUCACCAGGUCCGGGAAGGAGGGAUUGUCUGGAAUAAAGACGGGCGACCGUGCUCUGCAAGGUGGAACCCCGGGGUGCCGGCAAGGCGCUUAUGGCUUGAGGGUGGGGUAAGGAUGCAGCCUCUCCGGCAGGCUGGCUCUCUCCUUAGCCUCGACAUUCCUUCCUGAACUUGUAGAGUGUCCCGAACCUGGCUGGAGAGUGGAUGGUUCCAGGUACCGCAGGUGG